CUUCCCCGGCUGUAUGAUUCCCUUGGAACUGUCUCCACCCUCUUCUUUCCGGCAGAUGCUGAUGCUGCCUGCCACUCUAAGAGUCAAACUGUGAUUUCAGUUGGACCCUGAAAAUUGGAGCCUGUGCUGUGCCCUUGCAGAAUGAGAGAUCCUUGACAUCUCCAUACGUGCCAAGUGCUGUGUCCAGCCCUGAGGGGGCACCCCAAGCUGGAUAAAUAAGGUCUUUCUUCAAGAAGUCUUGGCCCAGGAAAGCGCAGCUAUGGUAACAACCUCAGAGGCCUAGACGUACCCAGUUGGUGACCCAUGUGGGCCUGAGGGAAGAUACAGGGGACAAUGGAGAUCCCUGAAGUUUGCUGAGUGGUUAAAGAGAAGAAGGAACCAGAAUAGCUGGCCUCUGGAAGGUGCAUGAUGGCUGUGGGACUGUUUCCUAUCUUCAGUGUGGGCUCACGGCUUGUUUGCUCCUGAGUAAUUAACCGGAAGCUUGUGAUGGGACCCACACUCCUCAUGACUCCACAACUCUGGACCUUUCUUGACUUUAAGCAAGUCAAUAAAUCCAAGCAAAUCUAGCCA
rnacentral:lncRNA from 1 species